rnacentral:lncRNA from 1 species
CUUAGAUUGUUAAUCUCCACAAUAUCAUCACAAAACAAGAUAUGAGCAGCUUUACAUCACCUUCAAAAUGCAGAUAAACACCAAUUAACUUCAAGUUAUACAACAAAAAUAGCAUAUUCAGUAUAAUCGCACAAAAAACUUUCUGCCAGACAAGUUCAAGAUUAAAUUUUUUUUUUUUUGAACUUUGACUAUUUCAAACAUGUNN